GAUGAACGCUAGCGGCAGGCCUAAUACAUGCAAGUCGAACGAGAUUGAGGAGCUUGCUCCUCAUGAAAGUGGCGCACGGGUGCGUAACGCGUAUGCAAUCUACCUUAAUCAGGGGGAUAGCCCGGAGAAAUCCGGAUUAAUACCGCAUAACGUUAUUUUAUGGCAUCAUAGAAUAACCAAACAUUUAUGGGAUUAAGAUGAGCAUGCGUGACAUUAGUUAGUUGGUGAGGUAACGGCUCACCAAGACUACGAUGUCUAGGGGAUCUGAGAGGAUGACCCCCCACACUGGUACUGAGACACGGACCAGACUCCUACGGGAGGCAGCAGUAAGGAGUAUUGGUCAAUGGGCGCAAGCCUGAACCAGCCAUGCCGCGUGCAGGAAGACGGCCCUAUGGGUUGUAAACUGCUUUUAUUCGGGAAUAAACCUCUUUACGUGUAAGGAGCUGAAUGUACCGAAGGAAUAAGGAUCGGCUAACUCCGUGCCAGC
rnacentral:rRNA from 1 species